rnacentral:rRNA from 1 species
CAGGAUGGACCCGCGUCUGAUUAGCUAGUUGGUAAGGUAACGGCUUACCAAGGCGACGAUCAGUAGCCGACCUGAGAGGGUGAUCGGCCACAUUGGAACUGAGACACGGUCCAAACUCCUACGGGAGGCAGCAGUGGGGAAUAUUGCACAAUGGGCGAAAGCCUGAUGCAGCAACGCCGCGUGAGUGAUGAAGGCCUUCGGGUCGUAAAACUCUGUCCUCAAGGAAGAUAAUGACGGUACUUGAGGAGGAAGCCCCGGCUAACUACGUGCCAGCAGCCGCGGUAAUACGUAGGGGGCUAGCGUUAUCCGGAUUUACUGGGCGUAAAGGGUGCGUAGGCGGUCUUUCAAGUCAGGAGUG